GGUCCCAUCGUCUAGUGGUUAGGACAUCGCCCUUUCACGGCGGUAACAUGGGUUCAAAUCCCGUUGGGAUCA
rnacentral:tRNA from 1 species